UACGUAGGUGGCAAGCGUUACUCGGAAUUACUGGGCGUAAAGCGUGCGUAGGUGGUGAGUUAAGUCUGUCGUGAAAGCCCCGGGCUCAACCGUGGAACUGCCUCAGAUACUGUCGGCCUCGAGGGAGGUAGGGGCGUGCGGAACUGUAGGUGGAGCGGUGAAAUGCGUUGAUAUCUACAGGAACUCCGGUGGCGAAAGCGGCGCGCUGGACCUCUUCUGACGCUGAGGCGGCGAAAGCUAGGGAGCAAACGG
rnacentral:rRNA from 1 species